CAGUCGUGCCAGGACAGCGUGUGCCUAGGAACUGCUCUUGGGGACUCUCACAGGCGCCCUGCACUGCCCCUGCUGUGCGUGUCUCCUGUUGCCUGGGAAGCUAAAGGGACUGUGGUCCAGGCCUGCCAUUGGCUCCCAAGAACCCCGCCUCCUGGUGACACCCCCUCCUCUUGAGUGUGGGUGAGACCUGAAGACUCACUUUUACCAAAUGGAAUAUGGAAAAGAUGUGGCCUCUGAGGUUGUUAUAAAACAACUGUGACUUCAUGGGGCUCUCCGUCCCUCACUCUCUGCAAAUCUCUCACUCUGGGGCAACAGGCUCCCCCCCCGUGAGCUGCCCCGUGGAGAAGCCCAUGAGGCAUGGAACCCAGAACCUAAGACCUGCCAGCGCCCCCUGUGUAAGCCUGGACGCCAUCCUCCCGAGUCGGGCCUGGAGAGGGCCCCAGCCCCAGCCCCAGACCCAGCCGACGCUCUGAAUGACACCCCACGAAAGGCCUUGAGUGAGAGAACGCAGUGCUAUGCUGCUGUGAUCUGAAGUGAACAUUUGUGGUGUCUGUUUACGAGAUGAGUCGCCUGCCUGACAUAGCAGCACCCGGAGCUGCAGCCCUUGGUCUACUACAGUACACAUCAAGCAAUUCAGCUUUUUCUUGGACUGUCACAACUUUCCUCUGCUUCUUGGGAGCAUUUCCAGCACCACUAGUGGCACUUCACGUGGGCCCUACGGUGUUAUUCAAGGUUUACGGUAUUGCACUCAGCAUGAUGAAAAAUACAGGAGAACCUCAAGAGAUCACUUUUUACUGCGAAAUGCAAUUUACUGGUGAGACGAACGGCUCACGUGGAGAUGAUGAGCAUCGCGCGGUGUUUUAAGCGGAUACCCACAACACUUGAGCUCACUGCAAUAGCAACAGGAGGUGGCUGCGAAAUGAUUCCGGCACUACAGUAAUUCCUACAAUGAAUUGCAUGCAGUUACGAUUUGAUGCUGCGUCUUUACAUUUGUUUACAUUUCUCUUGACUGCCAAUGACACC
rnacentral:lncRNA from 10 species